CAUCCUCUCCUCCCGUUCCCUCGGCCGCCGCCACUCCACCAAUAUCCGUCUGCCGGUGCCGGCGCCGGCGCAGAACAUGCCUUACCUCUCCCGAUCCACCACUCCGCUCUCUUCUCCGCUCUAUAUGCCUCAGCCCCCUCCUCAUCUUUCCCCUCGCCAUGGCCACGAGCCCAUACACCCCGGUCCAGAUCACGGCCUCGAUCUGUGGCGGCAGUAGUGGCAGCGGGACCGACUGCUGUGGCUGGACGAUGGUCGACGUCGUCCAUUACCUCCCGUCGCACAUCAAUCUGCCUUCUUCGGUCGCAGUCGAGCAUCGCACAUGCCGUGCCGAACCCAAUGAUGCACUGGCCAUCUCAACCAGAUCCACGCCAAUGAGAAGGCCAAGGUGGAGGUAGUGGGGCCGUGCUCGUUAUUUUCUGCAACCGGAUUUGGAAGUUGCUAAUGUCCCGUGCGGCAGCCACGGAUCCAUUUUCGGUCGACGCCGAGCACUGGCGAGGUACAGGUGGCGCCGCUGGCACGAUGCAGUGUACAGGGGCGCCGACGCCAUGGAGAUGGCCACUGGCUUCUUCCUGCCGCGCUGCAGCGACGGGCGCCGCCUCCUCGGCUUUGCCCCAGUCCUCCCGCCCUGCACUUAGGUGCUGCUACUCGUAGCCAUCUCGGUGGUUCGGGAAUGGCUUUCUUGGAGAUUGGUGUUGCAGCAUUUCUACUUGAAGGAAAUGAAGCCAGUGGUCAUGAUCUCUUUGGCGCAGAACUUAAUUUGUUAUCUCUGAAGCUAUAGCAAGUAUUGAUGAACUGCUCAAGGUGCAUCUCUCUAGCUUGUUAAACAAUUGAUUGGUAAAAGGUAAAAGGACUAAGAUUCACAUAGCUACGCCGCAGGCAAUGUCAACCAUGGGUUGAGGCGAGACUUUGGUGCAUAUAAGGUUCUCCCUCAGAUGAUGACAGCAUGGAUGGUCGGAUCUGUGUCCAGCGAGCACUAUGGAUGGCUGAAUAUGCAUCCAGCGAGCGCCAAGCCUGGUGGUGGUGUAUGCAGAAUUAGCAUAGGGGUUUGUAGAUUUUAGUUUCUUGUGUUUUGCUAGUCCAUAUGGAUGUAUUAUCUGGAAAUAUAUGUAAUUUUAAGGUUUUGUAUAAAAAAUCUGCUUAUGUUUAUGAUUUUUUCUUUUAGUUAAUGACAUGAGUUUAUAUUGUUGAGAAAAUAGAAUUUCCAUGGGCCAUGAGAAAAUGAGAUGGGCUAGUCGUUUGGAUUGAAACUAGUGGG